rnacentral:lncRNA from 1 species
AGUCUGUCAAUUACCGACCCUGGCUUAGUCUGUCAUUCUGAUCCUGGCUCAGCCAAGACUCAUCUCACAAUUCCAACUGGUGAACUGGCUCUGAUACCAAAUGUAACACUCCGACCAGCCAACAAUAAUAACUCGUUGGGCCCAAACAACAGGCCUAAAAUGCUUAAGCCCAAUUAUUAUAGCUAGCCCAAUCAAGCUUAUAUACUCCGACAUCUAGCCAUAACUAUCCGAUGUAGGACUAUUGGGGUGUCACAAAUAGGAAUCAGACGGUUAAUCACA